GUAGGUGAACCUGCGGAGGGAUCAUUACCGAGUUUACAACUCCCAAACCCCUGUGAACAUACCAAUUGUUGCCUCGGCGGAUCAGCCCGCUCCCGGUAAAACGGGACGGCCCGCCAGAGGACCCCUAAACUCUGUUUCUAUAUGUAACUUCUGAGUAAAACCAUAAAUAAAUCAAAACUUUCAACAACGGAUCUCUUGGUUCUGGCAUCGAUGAAGAACGCAGCAAAAUGCGAUAAGUAAUGUGAAUUGCAGAAUUCAGUGAAUCAUCGAAUCUUUGAACGCACAUUGCGCCCGCCAGUAUUCUGGCGGGCAUGCCUGUUCGAGCGUCAUUUCAACCCUCAAGCCCCCGGGUUUGGUGUUGGGGAUCGGCGAGCCCUUGCGGCAAGCCGGCCCCGAAAUCUAGUGGCGGUCUCGCUGCAGCUUCCAUUGCGUAGUAGUAAAACCCUCGCAACUGGUACGCGGCGCGGCCAAGCCGUUAAACCCCCAACUUCUGAAUGUUGACCUCGGAUCAGGUAGGAAUACCCGCUGAACUUAAGCAUAUCAAUAGCCGGAGGAA
rnacentral:rRNA from 1 species